rnacentral:lncRNA from 1 species
GUCAUUACACUCAGGUGAAUCUAACCUCUUACCAGCCAUACCUGCCUUAGAAAGUUGUACAAGGAAUCAAUGAAUUUAUUGUGUAGAGCUUCUCAGUAAUGUAAAGGAGUGCUGUUUGGCUUGCAUUUUACACACAUAGUUACUAUUUUAAUGUUCUUCCUGUGAGUCAUUAUGAUUUGCUUCCAUCAUGUGGAUAGAGAAACAGGUUCAGGAGGGUAAAUGGGUGUUCAGAUUUAGAUCUCCUAUUCUCAGAUCCUUCUUUGUUCAGAAUACAGGUUCUGUAGUCACUUUGUAUUUCAAGAGCUUUACUUAUCUUAGAAAUUCGUGUAAUAUCUUGUCCUCUAGAUUUGGUGCUUCCAGAUGUGAGUUAUCAGGUGGAAUCCAGUGAGGAGGAUCAGUCUCAGACUAUGGAUCCUCAAGGACAAACUCUGCUGCUUUUUCUCUUUGUGGAUUUCCACAGUGCAUUUCCAGUCCAGCAAAUGGAAAUCUGGGGCAGCUGACACACAAGAGUUCAGGACCAAACUGCACAAAGUAUUUCGUGAGAUCACCCAACACCAAUUUCUUCACCACUGCUCAUGUGAGGUGAAGCAGGUAAGUGUAAAUAAUCAGUACUUUGGUGGGAAUCUUCCAUUUU